rnacentral:rRNA from 1 species
GUGCAGCAGUCGAGAAAACUUCACACUGUGCGAAAGCACGAUGAGGGAAUCCCAAGUGCUUGCACGUAAGUGUAAGCUGUUUCUCUGUCUAAAACGCAGAGAGAGUAAGGGCUGGGUAAGACGGGUGCCAGCCGCCGCGGUAAUACCUGCAGCUCAAGUGGUGACCGUUAUUAUUGGGCCUAAAACGUCCGUAGCCGGUUUAAUAAAUGCCU